rnacentral:piRNA from 1 species
AAGCCCAAUGAAUAUGGCUAAGUGUCCGUUU